GACGAACGCUGGCGGCGUGCUUAACACAUGCAAGUCGAACGGAAAGGCCCUGCUUUUGUGGGGUGCUCGAGUGGCGAACGGGUGAGUAACACGUGAGUAACCUGCCCUUGACUUUGGGAUAACUUCAGGAAACUGGGGCUAAUACCGGAUAGGAGCUCCUGCUGCAGGGGGGGGGUUGGAAAGUUUCGGCGGUUGGGGAUGGACUCGCGGCUUAUCAGCUUGUUGGUGGGGUAGUGGCUUACCAAGGCUUUGACGGGUAGCCGGCCUGGGAGGGUGACCGGCCCCAUUGGGCCUGAGAGACGGCCCAGACUCCUACGGGAGGCAGCGGUGGGGAAUCUUGCACAAUGGGCGGGCGCCUGAUGCAGCAACGCCGGGUGCGGGAUGCCGGCCUUCGGGUUGUAAACCGCUUUCGCCUGUGACGAAGCGUGAGUGACGGUAAUGGGUAAAGAAGCACCGGCUAACUACGUG
rnacentral:rRNA from 1 species